CGCUCGCUCGCUCGUUCGCUCUGUGGAUGGUCAACAUAUUCCAUCUACCGAAAUCAUAUGCUGCUGCCGUGAACACCACCAGAUGCCAAGAAACACCUGUACCCUUGUCCAGCACAGAGUGCCUAGGAAUGUAAUGAUUCCAAAUCCCUGUUGAUCUGGCCACACCUAUUUGGUGGCAGAACCUGGCAUGAUUGUGCCUGUACAAGUGGUGACACCAAAUUGGAGGAGGAUGCAGCAGAGAAUAAAAUUAGUGUCAAUCAGCAACCCAGUCAAUCACAUUCCUAAUUGUUAUUGUCUUCUCAACCUCAUAAUUAUAUUCUGCAUGGGGGCCUAUAGAGUGUAACACCUAUCAUCUUAGGGAUGGAUGGAACAGCUCACUGAUUUAACUUGCUA